rnacentral:rRNA from 1 species
AUACGUAGGGGGCGAGCGUUGUCCGGAAUGAUUGGGCGUAAAGGGCGCGUAGGCGGCGCGGUAAGUAUGGAGUGAAAGUCCUGCUUUCAAGGUGGGAAUUGCUUUGGAUACUGCCGCGCUUGAGUGCAGGAGAGGUUAUCGGAAUUCCCGGAGUAGCGGUGAAAUGCGUAGAGAUCGGGAGGAACACCAGUGGCGAAGGCGGGUAACUGGACUGCAACUGACGCUGAGGCGCGAAAGUGUGGGGAGCAAACAGGAUUAGAUACCCUGGUAGUCCACACUGUAAACGAUGAAUGCUAGGUGUAAGAGGUAUCGACCCCUUUUGUGCCGGAGUCAACACAAUAAGCAUUCCGCCUGGGGAGUACGGCCGCAAGGUUGAAACUCAAAGGAAUUGACGGGG